rnacentral:rRNA from 1 species
AAACAAAACUAUUCGCCAGAGUACUACCGGCAACAGCUUAAAACUCAAAGGACUUGGCGGUGCUUUAUACCCUUCUAGAGGAGCCUGUUCUAUAAUCGAUAAACCCCGAUAAACCUCACCAUUCCUUGCUAAUUCAGUCUAUAUACCGCCAUCUUCAGCAAACCCUAAAAAGGUACAAAAGUAAGCACAAUCAUAGCACAUAAAGACGUUAGGUCAAGGUGUAACCUAUGGAGUGGAAAGAAAUGGGCUACAUUUUCUAAUAUAAGAAAAUCUAAUACGAAAGUUAUUAUGAAAUUAAUAACCAAAGGAGGAUUUAGCAGUAAACUAAGAAUAGAGUGCUUAGUUGAAUUAGGCCAUGAAGCACGCACACACC